CUGUCACUGGUUUGUGCUCCUGGUGUUGUCACGUUUAAGUUUAUGUUUCUGCCAACAAGUCUUGCCUCCUGCGUUAGGAUCCUUCACUACCACCCAUGACAAUUUGAACGGGGCCUUCUUUCUGUGAGCCAAGAGCGCUAACCACUACGCCACCGUGCAGCCCAUGGUUCUUCACGUCGACUCAAAUUAGAAACUGAGGCUGGAGAAGGAGCUGAAGGACGGGAGUCCAGCCUGGGUCGCAGCCAUGAAGAACCUCAAUCGAGCUGCAGGUGGAUCAGAACUCUCUGCGCUUCUGGUGAGGAACGAGCAGCUUCUGAGAAGACCUGCGUGUAGAAGAGAUAAAGCUGCUCUGACUCCUGCUGAUGCUCGACGACCUACUGCCACUGAUAAAGACCCCCACCACGCACUGGUGACCACACAGCUCCUGCAGCAGGAGGGAAGGAGGCCACAGCAUGUGUGAUUCCUAAAAACACAUUCAUUCAAGGAACAGGAGGAAGCUGACUCCAACGAGAUGCCUUCUGUCAUGUUUGAUGCUUCAGUUUCUAAUGAGCUGUGAAUGUUUGAUGCUGUAAAUGUUCUGAAAAUUCACUUUAAUUCAUUUCUGUCUUUAUAAUUUCAACAAGAAAUUGA